GGCUUGGGUCACUACCAGCCUCACUGAGGGCGCCUGUGAAAGAAUCCCAUCAUACCUUGGAUUUUGGUGCUGUCAGUCUGAAAAGCAGAUGUACCUGUUUGGUACUCUAGAGGGAAUGUCCUUCCCUGAAUGAAAAAGCUGGGCCAUUUGGGGAUUUGGAGAAUAAAGCCCACGCUCCGGAUCCAGGUAGCCGACUUCAGAAGCGGGAGUACGGUGAAAGUGCCUCAGCCUCUUGUGGGAUCACCCUUUUCCCCGGAGCACCUGGCAUUAGGGCUGGAACAAGCUGCUCCCACUGGGAAUGCAGACAAGGGCUGAUGGGACUCUAGUCAUUGGCGGGACGAGCUGCGAGCUGGGAGCACCAUCUCUUGCUGCCGCAGCCGUGAACAUGAACGGUAUUGCCUUCAUUCUGUGAAUGGAAGAGCGGCCUGACCCAUCAGUCUGGGGGUGACGGGAAAGGAGCGUCCCCAGAAUUCAGCUGCUGGGAGUAGGCAGAUGGCGCAGGGGUGGGUGCUGAGCUUCCGAGGAGCAGCGUGGUGAACACCCUGGCAGGGCUGGUCUGUGCUGGGGCCUCCGAGAAAGGCGUGCACGCUGUGCUGGUGCGUGUGGUUCUGGCCGCCGGAGGACACCGUCGUUCCACCGGGGGCCUGUCUGCCGGCACCCCUGCCGUCUGUGAGCCUGGGUCCUGGAACAGAGGUUGUCAGGCUGUGAUUUUAGCAGAGUCCUGAGCUCCUGUGGAGAUUUGCCUCUAUCCAACCUUGGGCUAUCUGUAUUCCUGAACAUCUCUGGGCCCAGAAGGAAAAGAAGAAUGCUGACCAGCUCUGGGGAUGGCCUGAAUGAGGAGAGGUGAGAGAACUGCUCAGACAUGUUAAGUAACUCAGCAGAGGUCACACAGCUAAGGGACACAGAGGAACGUACCAAGCAGUGAAGGCCAUUUUUCAUCACUGCUGUCCUCCACGAGCUUACGUCUGGAAUGGGAGUCAUCUUUGCACUAAUGAACGGGUUGGAUGGAGCCCAGAAAACACUUGGCACAGGUAGCAUUGACCCAGAGAGAAGUGAAUCCUUGUGUCCAGUGACUAGAAGACACACGAACCUGGAAAAAGGAGCCCAGGAGAUUGCUGUGUUUCCCCCACAUAGGAGAACACCCACCCUCUCCUGCCCCUCGCCCGUAACACAUGACACAUUUAGCAGUGAUUUAGUCACUGCUGAGCUAUCUUCAUUCAAUGUGAUUUUGGCAGAAGAGUUGGUCUGAAAAUUGUAUUUUCAAUUAAACUUCCUUGUUGAGCUGC